rnacentral:rRNA from 1 species
AUUCCAGCUCCAAUAGCGUAUAUUAAAGUUGUUGCAGUUAAAAAGCUCGUAGUUGGAUUUCUGGCAGGAGCGUCCGGUCUCACACUCAGUGCGGGAACUUGGAUGUCUCUGGCCAUCUUUGGGGAUAUCCUGUUUGGCAUUAAGUUGUCGGGCAGGGGACACCCAUCGUUUACUGUGAAAAAAUUAGAGUGUUUAAAGCAGGCUUAUGCCGUUGAAUAUAUUAGCAUGGAAUAAUAAGAUAGGACGUAGGUACUAUUUUGUUGGUUUGCGCACCCACGUAAUGAUUAAUAGAGACAGGCGGGGCUAUUCGUAUUGCAUUGUCAGAGGUGAAAUUCUUGGAUUUCUGCAAGACGAACUACUGCGAAAGCAUUUAGCAAGGAUGUUUUCAUUA